GGGGCGUCCCCAGGGGCAUCUGGGGGUCUCGGGGGGGGAUUUGGGAGUCCCGGGGGGAUUUCAGGGGUCCUUGGGGGGAUUUGGGGGUAUCUGGGGAGGGAUUUCAGGGGUCCCCGAGGUGGAUUUAUCAUGGGGACACAUGGCCAUGGGGACGAUGGUAGGGACACACGGCCAUGGGGACAAUCAAGGGGACACGUGGCCAUGGGGACAAUCAUGGGGACACACGGCUAUGGGGACUAUCAUGGGGACACAUGGCCAUGGGGAUGAUCACCAGGAAGCACGGCCACCAAGAUGAUGGUGGGGAAGGACAGGGCUCAUGGGGACAAUGGCCAUGGGGACGAUCACCGGGAAGCCCAGCCAUGGGGACAGCCAGGAAGCACGGCCACCAAGAUGAUGGUGGGGAACAACAGCCAUGGGGACAAUGGCAAGGACACAUGGGGACACAUGGCCAUGGGGAUGAUGGUGGGGACACACGGCCAUGGGGACAAUCAAGGGGACACAUGGCCACAGGGACCACAAGGAAGCCCGGCCCGUCACGGGGACAAUGGUGGGGAAGGAUGGCCAUGGGGACAAUCACAGAGGACGCCUGGCCAUGGGGACCAUGGGGACAGUCAUGGGGGACACCUGGCCACGGGGACACACAGGGAUGACGGUGGGGAAGCCUGGCCAUGGGGACAAUCACAGGGGACACCUGGCCAUGGGGACACAUGGCCAUGGGGACAAUUAUGGGGGACACCCGGCCUCGGGGACAAUGGGGACACCUGGGGACAGUCAUGGGGACACCCAGCCACGGGGACCGUGGGGACACCUGGGGAUGAUGGUGGGGAAGCCUGGCCAUGGGGACAAUCACGGGGGACACAUGUCCAUGGGGACACGUGGCCAUGGGGACAAUUAUGAGGGACACCCAGCCACGGGGACAAUGGGGACACCCAGGGACAAUCAUGGGGACACCCAACGGCCACCGCUCUCCAGAGCCCGGGGAGUCCCCCAUUUUCCUCAAACCACAGAAAAAAACCCAAACGCUUCUAAACCAAGAGGAUCCCUCCCCUUGGGGGGGGACACACAAAGACCCCCGGGAGGGGGGGGACGACACAAAGCCACCGGGAGGGGGACACAAAGACCCCUGGGGGGGACAAAAAGCCACCGGGGGAGGUCCAUGAGUGAGGGAGGAAAACAGGGGGCUCCUCCUCCCCCCCCCGCCCAGGAGGGAAGGGGACAAACAAGGGGGACAAUGGGGACAUCCCCGGCCCCCUCUUCCCUCUGCC
rnacentral:lncRNA from 1 species